rnacentral:tRNA from 1 species
CCUUCGAUAGCUCAGCUGGUAGAGCGGAGGACUGUAGAUGCGAAGCAUAUAGACAUCCUUAGGUCGCUGGUUCGAUUCCGGCUCGAAGGA